UACGAAGGGGGCUAGCGUUGCUCGGAAUUACUGGGCGUAAAGCGUGCGCAGGCGGUUGGGCAAGUCAGAUGUGAAAUCCCCGGGCUUAACCUGGGAACUGCGUUUGAAACUACAAGGCUAGAGUGUGGCAGAGGGGGGUGGAAUUCCACGUGUAGCAGUGAAAUGCGUAGAGAUGUGGAGGAACACCGAUGGCGAAGGCAGCCCCCUGGGUUAACACUGACGCCCAGGCACGAAAGCGUGGGGAGCAAACAGG
rnacentral:rRNA from 1 species